UCGGACUCGAUGGUUUGACGAUAAAAAAACUGUCUUUCUUUACUGGCUUUUAAAUUAUCUUAAGAGUGAAGAGACUCUUUUGUUAUAGCGGGACGAGAAGACCCCGUUGAGCUUUAACGAGUAUUAUUAGUUUUAUAAUUACUGGUUUUAGUUGGGGCAACUAUUUCUCUUUAUUAAACAGAAAUAAAACUAUCUCGAAUUGAAUCAAUUAUGACCCCUAAUUAUUAGGAGAAAUAAAAUAAGUUACCACGGGGAUAACAGCGUAAUUUUUUUUGAGAGUUCUUAUUGACAAAAAAGUUUGCGACCUCGAUGUUGGAUCAUAGUCUCCUAGGGGUGCAGCAGCUCCUAAGGGUUGGUUUGUUCAACCAUUAAAACUAUACGUGAUCUGA
rnacentral:rRNA from 1 species